rnacentral:rRNA from 1 species
GAUGAACGCUGGCGGCGUGCCUAAUACAUGCAAGUCGAGCGAACAGACGAGGAGCUUGCUCCUCUGACGUUAGCGGCGGACGGGUGAGUAACACGUGGAUAACCUACCUAUAAGACUGGGAUAACUUCGGGAAACCGGAGCUAAUACCGGAUAAUAUAUUGAACCGCAUGGUUCAAUAGUGAAAGACGGUUUUGCUGUCACUUAUAGAUGGAUCCGCGCCGCAUUAGCUAGUUGGUAAGGUAACGGUUUACCAAGGCAACGAUGCGUAGCCGACCUGAGAGGGUGAUCGGCCACACUGGAACUGAGACACGGUCCAGACUCCUACGGGAGGCAGCAGUAGGGAAUCUUCCGCAAUGGGCGAAAGCCUGACGGAGCAACGCCGCGUGAGUGAUGAAGGUCUUCGGAUCGUAAAACUCUGUUAUUAGGGAAGAACAAAUGUGUAAGUAACUAUGCACGUCUUGACGGUACCUAAUCAGAAAGCCACGGCUAACUACGUG